AGGGGCGUAGCCAAGUCGGUAAGGCAACGGACUUUGACUCCGUUAUGCGUUGGUUCGAGUCCAGCCGCCCCUGCCA
rnacentral:tRNA from 4 species